AUUGAACGCUGGCGGCAUGCUUUACACAUGCAAGUCGAACGGCAUCGCUGGCUUCGGCCUGGCUGCUAGUGGCGAACGGGUGAGUAAUACAUCGUAACGUGCCCAGUAGUGGGGGAUAGCUCGGCGAAAGCCGGAUUAAUCCCGAAUACGACCUGAGUGUGAAAGCUGGUGGUCUUCGGACCUCGCGCUAUUGUAGCGGCCGAUGGCAGAUUAGCUAGUUGGUGGGGUAAAGGCCUACCAAGGCGACGAUCUGUAGCUGGUCUGAGAGGAGGACCAGCCACACUAGGACUGAGACAAGGCACAGACUAGUACGGGAGGCAGCAGAGGGGAAUGUUGGACAAGGGGCGAAAGCAAGAUCCAGCAAAGCCGCGUGGGGGAUGAAGGGCUGCGGGUUGUAAAGCAAAUUUGGCGGGAACGAAAAGGACGGUGCGAAUACCACGGUUCGAUGACGGUACCAGCAGAAUAAGCACCGGCUAACUACGUG
rnacentral:rRNA from 1 species